rnacentral:rRNA from 1 species
CCUACGGGAGGCAGCAGUGGGGAAUAUUGCACAAUGGGGGAAACCCUGAUGCAGCGACGCCGCGUGAGUGAAGAAGGAAUUCGUUAUGUAAAGCUCUAUCAGCAGGGAAGAAAAUGACGGUACCUGAGUAAGAAGCCCCGGCUAACGACGUGCCAGCAGCCGCGGUAAUACGGAGGGGGCAAGCGUUAUCCGGAUUUACUGGGUGUAAAGGGAGCGUAGACGGCAGGGCAAGUCUGGAGUGAAAGGCGGGGGCUCACCCCCCGGACUGCUCUGGAAACGGUACGGCUGGAUUGCAGGAGCGGUUAGUGGACUUCCUCGUUUAGCGGUGCACUGCGUCGAUAUUAGGCGGACCACCAGUGGCG